rnacentral:rRNA from 1 species
AACGAACGCUGGCGGCAUGCCUAACACAUGCAAGUCGAACGAGACCUUCGGGUCUAGUGGCGCACGGGUGCGUAACGCGUGGGAACCUGCCCUUAGGUUCGGAAUAACUCCCCGAAAGGGGUGCUAAUACCGGAUAAUGUCUUCGGACCAAAGAUUUAUCGCCUUUGGAUGGGCCCGCGUUGGAUUAGCUAGUUGGUAGGGUAAAAGCCUACCAAGGCGACGAUCCAUAGCUGGUCUGAGAGGAUGAUCAGCCACACUGGGACUGAGACACGGCCCAGACGCCUGCGAGAGGCAGCAGUGGGGAAUAUGGGACGAUGUGGGAAGGGGUGAUACUUCCCUGCAGCGGGAAUGUUGAAGAAAUUAGGGGUGUAAUGCGCUUUUACGAGGGACGAGCAGGACGGGACCGGGAGAAUAAGCACCGGCUAACUUCGUG